rnacentral:rRNA from 1 species
ACGGCUCAGUAACACGUGAUCAACUUACCCUAUGGAGAGAAAUACCCUCGGGAAACUGAGGAUAAUGUCUCAUAACUGAGAAGGCUUGGAAAAGUUUUCAAUCAAAGGAAUAAGAAAAAUGGUUCUUAUUUGCCAUAGGAUAGGAUCGUGGUCGAUUAUGGUAGUUGGCGAGGUAAUGGCUCACCAAGCCGAUAAUCGAUAGGGGCCGUGAGAGCGGGAGCCCCGAGAUGGGUACUGAGACAACGACCCAGGCCUUACGAGGCGCAGCAGGCGCGAAACCUCCGCAAUACACGAAAGUGUGACGGGGUUACCCAAAGUGUCCAUCUUUGGACUGUGGUAGGUGAGUAAUGUCCCCUACUAGAAAGGAGAGGGCAAGGCUGGUGCCAGCCGCCGCGGUAAAACCAGCUCUUCAAGUGGUCGGGAUAAUUAUUGGGCUUAAAGUGUCCGUAGCCGGAUUAGUAAGUUCCUGGUGAAAUCAGGUAGCUUAACUAUCUGUAUGCUAGGAAUACUACUAUUCUAGAGGGCGGGAGAGGUCUGAGGUACUACAGGGGUAGGGGUGAAAUCUUAUAAUCCUUGUAGGACCACCAGUGGCGAAGGCGUCAGACUGGAACGCGCCUGACGGUGAGGGACGAAAGCUAGGGGAGCGAACCGGAUUAGAUACCCGGGUAGUCCUAGCCGUAAACGAUGCAUACUAGGUGAUGGCACGGCCAUGAGCCGUGUCAGUGCCGUAGGGAAACCGUUAAGUGAGCCGCCUGGGAAGUACGGUCGCAAGGCUAAAACUUAAAGGAAUUG